rnacentral:rRNA from 1 species
CAGCCGUAAACUAUGCUCGCUAGGUGUCAGGCAUGGCGCGACCGUGUCUGGUGCCGCAGGGAAGCCGUGAAGCGAGCCACCUGGGAAGUACGGCCGCAAGGCUGAAACUUAAAGGAAUUGGCGGGGGAGCACAACAACGGGUGGAGCCUGCGGUUUAAUUGGACUCAACGCCGGACAACUCACCGGGGGACGACAGCAAUAUGUAGGCCAGGCUGAAGACCUUGCCUGAAUCGCUGAGAGGAGGUGCAUGGCGUAGACGUCU